rnacentral:rRNA from 1 species
CCUACGGGUGGCAGCAGUGAGGAAUAUUGGUCAAUGGACGAGAGUCUGAACCAGCCAAGUAGCGUGAAGGAUGACUGCCCUAUGGGUUGUAAACUUCUUUUAUAUGGGAAUAAAAUGUUCCACGUGUGGGAUUUUGUAUGUAUCAUACGAAUAAGGAUCGGCUAACUCCGUGCCAGCAGCCGCGGUAAUACGGAGGAUUCGAGCGUUAUCCGGAUUUAUUGGGUUUAAAGGGAGCGUAGGUGGAUUGUUAAGUUAGUUGUGAAAUUUUGCGGCUCAACCGUAAAAUUGCAGUUGAAACUGGCAGUCUUGAGUACAGUAGAGGUGGGCGGAAUGCGUGGUGUAGCGGUGAAAUGCUUAGAUAUCACGAAGAACUCCGAUUGCGAAGGCAGCUCACUAGACUGCAACUGACACUGAGGCACGAAAGUGUGGGUAUCAAACAGGGUUAGAUACCCUAGUAGUC